rnacentral:rRNA from 1 species
GAUGAACGCUAGCUACAGGCUUAACACAUGCAAGUCGAGGGGCAGCAGUGUUGGUUGCUUGCAACCAACGAUGGCGACCGGCGCACGGGUGAGUAACACGUAUCCAACCUACCGACAACUCGGGGAUAGCCUUCUGAAAAGGAGAUUAAUACCCGAUGGUAUGAAUGAAUUGCAUGAUUUUUUCAUUAAAGAAAUUCGGUUGUCGAUGGGGAUGCGUUCCAUUAGGCAGUAGGCGGGGUAACGGCCCACCUAACCGACGAUGGAUAGGGGUUCUGAGAGGAAGGUCCCCCACAUUGGAACUGAGACACGGUCCAA